rnacentral:rRNA from 1 species
AUUGAACGCUGGCGGCAGGCCUAACACAUGCAAGUCGAACGAGUGGCGGACGGGUGAGUAAUGUCUGGGAAACUGCCCGCUGGAGGGGGAUAACUACUGGAAACGGUAGCUAAUACCGCCUACCAUCUGAUUUGCCCAGAUGGGAUUAGCUGGUCGGUGGGGUAACGGCUCACCUAGGCGACGAUCCCUAGCUGGUCUGAGAGGAUGACCAGCCACACUGGAACUGAGACACGGUCCAGACUCCUACGGGAGGCAGCAGUGGGGAAUAGUGCACAAUGGGCGCAAGCCUGAUGCAGCCAUGCCGCGUGUAUGAAGAAGGCCGUCGGGUUGUAAAGUACUUUCAGCGGGGAGGCGUUACCCGCAGAAGAAGCACCGGCUAACUCCGUGCCAGCAGCCGCGGUAAUUC